ensembl:piRNA 21ur-736 ncRNA
AGUAAUUGGACUUGGUGAUAA